UACGAAGGGGGCUAGCGUUGCUCGGAAUCACUGGGCGUAAAGGGCGCGUAGGCGGAUCUUUAAGUCAGGGGUGAAAGCCUGAGGCUCAACCUCAGAAUUGCCUUUGAUACUGAAGAUCUUGAGACCGGAAGAGGUAAGUGGAACUGCGAGUGUAGAGGUGAAAUUCGUAGAUAUUCGCAAGAACACCAGUGGCGAAGGCGGCUCACUGGACUGGUAUUGACGCUGAGGUGCGAAAGCGUGGGGAGCAAACAGG
rnacentral:rRNA from 1 species